ensembl:lincRNA
GUGACAGAAAGCAGAUUAGUACAGCAACUAACUGAAAACUAAACAAACACUGUUCCUAAAGCCCACAGAACAUGUCAACAGGCCGUAAUGUGUCUCUCUCUCUCUUCCUUUGUUUCAACCCACUCACUCAAUUAUAUCAAAUGUGAUGUCCGGUUGGAUGUGUCAGUUGAAGAAUCCACUGGGAAUAAAAAAGGGAAAUGAAUUAGUCACAGCAGUAAUUUCUCCUCUCUAUUCUCCCAGGUCCACCCACUUGGAUUAAUCUCCAAGUGAACACUAAGUUGAUCCUGGUAACUCCCCUCUUGUUGUCAGCACUUGGGUUUGAUCUGGCCACAUGGCCCUACUUGGACCGAAGAGAAAUAAGGCUUCUUCUGCCAUUGCCAAUUUCUUAACUCCAUCAAGGCUACAGAGGUCAUUGCUGAUGAUGGCAGCAGCAGUGGUGACGUUGGUGACAUUGGUGAUGGUGGUGGGUCAGCACUCUGAGCAUCCAAUCUCAGUUGCCGUCCAAGACCUGACCAGAACCCAGAGAGAGCAAGCCUGUCCUCUUCGACCAAAAUCCCACCCGCUUACCUGUGACCACAUCCGAAUGGGCGGGGUCAGCGCCACAGCACGCGUCUACACGAAGUCCAGAAAUGUGGAAGCCCAUCGUGACUGGAACACAACUUGCUGUAAAGCGUGUUUAAAGACCCAUGGCUGGUUGCCAUUCCCAGCUAAACUUUCGGUGCGCCUAAGGCCACUGUGGCACUUUGGCCAGCAGGUGGCGAUGUUGUGUUGCAGGGGAUGAGGCGAGAUUUGGCGGUUGUUACCUUCGUUUCUGUGCUUGGAAAGGAAAUGGAAGACUGGGGUUAGAGUCUGGGGGACUCUGCCUUACAGCAACACCGGUGCUUCAUGCUGCAUCCUUGUCAUGGUUGGAGGUCAGGCGGCUCUCCCCGGACUUCAGGUCGGCUCAAGAAUCUGCAUCAGAGUUGCCUGGGCCCCUCCUUGCUGCAGGAGAGCAGAGUCCCCGCCUGCCACUUUGACUACUAAGAACCCUGAAUUUGGGGCUGGAGAGAUGGCUCAGAGGUUAAGAGCAUUGGCUGCUCUUCCAGAGGUCCUGAGUUCAAUUCCCAGCAAUCACAUGGUGGCUCACAACCAUCUAUAAUGAGAUCUGGUGCCCUCUGCUGGUAUGUAGGUAGAACAGUGUAUAUGUAAUAAAUAAAUCUUAAAAACAAAAACAAAAACAAAAAACCCUGAAUUCAAACACUAACUCAGGAAGAAACUAAAAGUGCGGUGACUGGGACAGAGAUUUAACUGGCAGAAUGCUUCCUUGACGCGUGUUAGGCCCUGCGUUCAAGCCCCAGGGUUGGUGGGGCUUGCUGCACUUGCUGCUAUUUGUGGAAGACCUGGAUUUGGUUCCCAGCACCUACAACGGGUGGCCCUCAACUGCCUGUAACUCCAGCUCCAGGGUGUUCACAGCCUUCUUCUGCCCUCCAAUCUGAGAACCGGGGACGUUAUGUAACCGCAUGCUGGACAAUGACCACUGCAGUUUGGUAAGGGUAUGGGGUGGGGGCUAGAGAAAAGGGGGUCGCCUAUGGUUAGUGCACGAUACAUACGCGCACAGAGGGGUCCCACUGACCCCCCCUUUAGCAUGCACACUGACAAACGUUAAUCAAAUAUGAACAGAAAAAGGUCUGCAGUAAACGGUACUCAUUGCAGCUGUGUCUCCUCGUGACUCAGGAGCGCUUCUAACAAGCUCUAAGGGUCAGCCGAUGGGUGUUGGUGGCACACGCCUUUAAUCCCAGCACUCGGGAGGCAGAGGCAGGAGGGUCUCUGUGAGUUCGAGGCCAGUCUGGUCGCCAGAGUGAGCGCCAGGAUAGGCUCCAAAGCUACACAGAGAAACCCUGUCUCGAAAAAACAAACAAACAAACAAAAAGCUCGGUGGGUUGUCCUGGGGAGACCACACCCUGGGAAAGCCUCUUUGCUUAGUUAGACAGAGGUGCAGAGAGAAUGACUCUGUCCAGAGCCCCUAGAGGCACCAGUCCCGAGGAGUGCGAGCUCGUGUGCACUUCUCCGACAAGGCUAAAUUCCCUUUCUCAGAACGCUGCUUUAGCAGUAAAUUUAGACUUCAGAGCUUGGCUUUCUUUUAAACCUUGAUGUCUUUUAAAAGCCGGCUACACUGAUGAGCUAUAAAGAGUUUUGACCUUGUAACAGCCAUCAAGAUCUGCUAGUUAAGUAUUGGACAUGGAAAUCUGGCUGUAUGCAAAUGGCCACGUCUGCUGAGGCCAGCUGCAAAAAAAAAAAAAAAAAAAAAAAAAAAAAACUGCCCUUCCAGAGGGCCAGCAGCAGCCUCUGAGCUGGCUGCUAGCUAUAGGAGCGGAAUUCACCAGGCCUGCAGAGGGGAGUCCCUGGGCCACUCUUCCAAACUGUACAGGCCAAGGUACCUGGUGUGUCUCCAGUGAGCUCCUUGUUCAAUGGCCUCUCCUAUGUGCGACUGGCUUCGCGUUUGUAAACUGCAUUCCUAGCUCCCUCNNNNNNNNNNNNNNNNNNNNNNNNNNNNNNNNNNNNNNNNNNNNNNNNNNNNNNNNNCUUUAGCUGGCCUUGCUGAGCCAUCAGGCAUACCCAGUGCAUCAAGGAAGAAGGAGCCCGCCCUUUCCUGCUGGGUCAAUAUUGACGUGUGGCUUUGUGUCUUGGCACUCAAGGUCUUUGCUGCCCUGACGGACGGCGUCACCCUGCACUUCCGCUCCCUUCUAGACACUGACUGGCCCCCACCAGUCUGUCUGCCCACUGUGCUGUGCAUCACAAUAAACUGGAAAAAAAUAACAUUGCAUUCUCAGGUUUUUCUUCUGCAUUAUUUUCCUCUCCCCCCUCCCAAUCCCCCAACAGGGUUUCUUUGUGUAUCCCAGGGUGUCCUGGAACUCACUCUGUAGACCAGGCUGGCC